AAGCGCUCAUGACCAGACGUGGGCUUGGUUGAUCAACCUGGGUUCUCCCUGGUGCACUCUUCCUCGCCCAGGCCAGCAUCAGUUUGCUUCGGGGGAUAAAGGCGUCGGGAAUGUGGCUCCCCCGGGAGUGUUAUAGCCCGUCGCGUAAUACCCUGCGGCAGACUGAGGUUCGCGUUCCGCAAGGAUGCUGGCGUAAUGGUCAUCAGCGA
rnacentral:rRNA from 1 species